rnacentral:lncRNA from 1 species
CUCCAAAUCUUCUUCCGUCUUGCAAGCGACCUCGCCGCCGUCAGGGAUGCUUGGAUAGCUGCGGAGGAAGGUAACCGGCCAGCAAUAAUAGGUCUUGUUGAUGCUCUUCUCCGAUAGCGCUGGCUUGUAGGUGGUCUCCACCACCACCAUUACGGGGAAGCCGAGGCUUCCGUCGACGAGGUGCCUGUCGUAGAGGUAGUACAGCGAUGCAUUUUGUCCUUGCUGUGUGAGGCUUAUCCACCUUCUGUAUCUGUGCGAGCUGUGCGGCUGCAGCUCGAAGCUGACAUUCCUCUCCGGAUCCGGCUUGAACCAGGAGAGCUCCACCAUCUCCACGAAGGACGCAUUGGGGAUGUCCAUGAUCCUGACGAUGUUGAUGUUGCCCUGGAUCUGGCCGCGGCCGCUGGGGUUGAGGGCGUGGAUGAUGAUCAACAUCUGCACCUCUUUCGCUGGCUCGUACACACGCGUGGUGUUGUUAUAAUUCCACCACCAUUCUAUUGUCUGGACAUAGCCGUAGCUCUGGAAGCCCAUCUCCACAGGGCGGUGGACGAAGACGAUCACCAUCACCACCACUGCAACGGCGAGCACGGAGACCACAAUGGCCACCAGUGAGCGCACCGUGGCUAGGAAGGGGAAUGUAGUGUUCUCGCCAGCGCGGCAUGCUGCCAUUUUUUCUGUGUCGGUUCACGUAGGUAGGGUGGAU